ACGCUCGACACCUACGGGAGGCAGCAGUGAGGAAUAUUGGUCAAUGGACGCAAGUCUGAACCAGCCAUGCCGCGUGCAGGAUGACGGCUCUGUGAGUUGUAAACUGCUUUUGUACGAGGGUAAACGCAGAUACGUGUAUCUGUCUGAAAGUAUCGUACGAAUAAGGAUCGGCUAACUCCGUGCCAACAGCCGCGGUAAUCUGAGCGGGCUGGCAAGGC
rnacentral:rRNA from 1 species